UUACGGCCACAUCCGGCCGAAACACCGGCUCCCAUACGAUCACCGAAGUUAAGCAACGUCGAGCCUGGCCGGUACCUAGAUGGGUGAAAGCUUGGGAAUACCAUAUACUGUAA